GCUUAUCACCAUUCCAGAUUGAAUAUACCCGAUCUCGUCUGAUCUCGGAAGACAAGCAAUCUCGGGCUUGGUUACUACUUGGAUGGGGGA
rnacentral:rRNA from 1 species